rnacentral:rRNA from 1 species
AGAGUUUGAUCCUGGCUCAGGACGAACGCUGGCGGCGUGCCUGAUACAUGCAAGUCGAGCGGGAUGUUGCGGGUUUUCGGAUCCGUCUCAUCCAGCGGCGGACGGGUGAGUAACACGUGAGUAACCUACCCAUCAGUGGGGGAUAACACCGGGAAACUGGUGCUAAUACCGCAUAAUGUCGAUGGAUUUUCGGAUUCAUUGAUGAAAGGCUUCGGUCGUUGAUGGAUGGGCUCGCGUCCCAUUAGUUAGUUGGUGAGGUAAUGGCUCACCAAGACGGCGAUGGGUAGCCGGUUUGAGAGGAUGGCCGGUCACACUGGGACUGAGACACGGCCCAGACUCCUACGGGAGGCAGCAGUACGGAAUUUUGCACAAUGGGCGCAAGCCUGAUGCAGCGACGCCGCGUGGGCGAUGAAGGCCCUUGGGUUGUAAAGCCCUGUCAGUGGGGACGAAUUCUGACGGUACCCAUUGAGGAAGCCCCGGCUAACUACGUGCCAGCAGCCGCGGUAACACGUAGGGGGCGAGCGUUGUCCGGAAUUACUGGGCGUAAAGGGCGCGUAGGCGGGCUGUCAAGUCAGAUGUGAAAGCCCCCGGCUCAACCGGGGAACUGCAUUUGAAACUGUCAGUCUUGAGUACAGAAGAGGAGAGUGGAAUUCCCGGUGGAGCGGUGAAAUGCGUAGAGAUCGGGAGGAACACCAGUGGCGAAGGCGGCUCUCUGGUCUGUAACUGACGCUGAGGCGCGAAAGCUAGGGGAGCAAACAGGAUUAGAUACCCUGGUAGUCCUAGCCGUAAACGAUGGGCACUAGGUGUGGGAGGUAUCGACCCCUUCCGUGCCGGAG